CUACGUGCCAGCAGCCGCGGUAAUACGGAAGGUCCAGGCGUUAUCCGGAUUUAUUGGGUUUAAAGGGAGCGUAGGCCGGAGAUUAAGUGUGUUGUGAAAUGUAGACGCUCAACGUCUGACUUGCAGCGCAUACUGGUUUCCUUGAGUACGCACAACGUUGGCGGAAUUCGUCGUGUAGCGGUGAAAUGCUUAGAUAUGACGAAGAACUCCGAUUGCGAAGGCAGCUGACGGGAGCGCAACUGACGCUUAAGCUCGAAGGUGCGGGUAUCAAACAGGAUUAGAUACCCUGGUAGUCCGCACAGUAAACGAUGGAUGCCCGUUGUUAGUUCACUUUAGAAUUAGCGACCAAGCGAAAGCAUUAAGCAUCCCACCUGGGGAGUACGCCGGCAACGGUGAAACUCAAAGGAAUUGACGGGGGCCCGCACAAGCGGAGGAACAUGUGGUUUAAUUCGAUGAUACGCGAGGAACCUUACCCGGGCUUGAAUUGCAGACGAACGAUUCAGAGA
rnacentral:rRNA from 1 species